GUGCCCAGCAAAUAGAGCAUGAGACUCUUAUUCUCAGGGCUGUGGGUUCGAGCCCCAGGUUAGGCA